UCCAUGCUGGGAGGAGGGCACAGCAAGCAGUGGGCGGUGGCCGGUUCUCCUCCGGAGCGGCUCUGGUGGCAGUGAAGGUGAUGAGCGGGGUGUCUGGGAUGGGAGUGUCGGUGUGUGGAGGGGGUAUGCUGUCUCCGGUGGGCGGUAGUCCGGGGGGGUGAUAUGGGGGGGAUUAGCAGGUGUCCCGGGACUGGUCUUGUCUGAUUAUCCACCCGACGUGUCCCGGGUGUUGUCCUGGGCUCUGUAUGCCUCCUGUCCCGGCUGUACUGGUGCAGAGCUGACUGGAGAUCGCUGCUGCAGCCCCUGC